UGCUCCAUAGUGCCCCAAGAGUCACCCAUUAUCACAAAUUUCCCCUGAUGCUUUAAUGUUCUGUUUUCAAAAUAUAAAAACUAAAUAUAUGAAUAAAUUUUAGGGUUUCAUACAGACAGUAAUUGGUUUCAUCUAGUACAACAUACAAUGUUUAAAAGUAAUCAUCCAUACAUUUUGUUCCACAUAUUCAGUUCAGGGUCGCAGAAACAUACCUCAGCUAUCAUAGGGUGGGAGGCAGAGUACACCAUGGUAAACUGUCCAGAGAUACAAAGAGCAUUCAUGCUCACACCAAUUGUUGAUUAUCAUUUUCAAGCUACUUUCAGCUUCUGUUAUGGGAUGGCUUAUUGUAGAAUUAUGGUGCAGCACCUGGAUUAGAGGAUUAAUACAGAGAAGUAUUUUUGAGAAGUAGUUGUACACAGAAGGUUGUGAACAGCUCUGAAAAUGAAAAAAAAGGACCUAAAGCUGCUCCCAGUGAGGAAUUCAAAUCACACAGCAUUUUAUUUUACACAGGUUUAGAUACUAAAACUACUUGUCAAGGCUAAAAUGUGCACUACCAGCCCAUCAGUUUUUUUGCCAUAUAGUACAUAACAGACUGCCAAAGGACACCUUGUGUGUGCAUGUGACAUGCCAGCAGAUUUGACAAAACAGCAUUAUCUUGGGAAUGAGAACAGCACUGGAGCUUCUAAUUAUUGGAUGACUCGCAUUACCUCCUGAGCCACAGCCACCCCAGAGCACUGCCAGCAUGAAUAUGGGAUAAAAGCUCCAAUUAGUGUCCCUGGAGAAGUUAGUGCAGCUAAUGGAAUCUCAGUCACUGCAACUUGAUCUUAAAAAUGCAAAACUAGCUUUCCAGGUCAGAUAUCUGCCUUGGGAAAACAGAACAGCUCAUAAAUGUUUAGCCUCAUGAAAAACAUUGGCCCUCAUCUGCAGUGGACAUGGCGGGAGGAAAGGUAGAACUCUGCUGGGUGCACUUGCUCCACCCGGAGGCCAUCUGUUGAUCAGCACCUUCACCAGACCCAUGACUGCCCACCCACAAAGCCAUUAUGGGUUUUUCCGUGACAGUCAGAGGGGCAGAGAGCGGACGCAACAGCAGAACGGGAGUGUCUGUGUCCCAGUGAAAACAAAAACCACAGUGUAACCACAUUCGAAAAUAAAGUAGAGCUGUCAUUACGUCCAUGUCCUGUCUAUGCUUAACGAGUCCAACGUUGCAUGUAUGUUUGCAAGUUUUCUCCCACUUUUUUGGAAAAGUGUGAAAAUGUUCAUGCUUGUCUAAGAAAAGUGUAUAA